GACAGAGGUGCCGAGCGUUAGGCGGAAUCACUGGGCUUAAAGCGUGUGUAGGCGGACUGGUAAGUACCUUGUGAAAUCCCACGGCUUAACCGUGGAACUGCUCGGUAUACUGCCGGUCUUGAGCCACCUAGGGGCGAGCGGAACAAAUGGUGGAGCGGUGAAAUGCGUAGAUAUCAUUUGGAACGCCAAUGGUGAAAACAGCUCGCUGGGGGUGUGCUGACGCUGGAGACACGAAAGCCAGGGGAGCAAACGGG
rnacentral:rRNA from 1 species